GUGCCAGCCGCCGCGGUAAUACCGGCAGCACGAGUGAUGGCCGAUUUUAUUGGGCCUAAAGCGUCCGUAGCUGGCCGCACAAGUCCGUCGGGAAAUCGACGUGCUCAACGCGUCGGCGUCCGGCGGAAACUGUACGGCUUGGGGCCGGAAGACCUGAGGGGUACGUCCGGGGUAGGAGUGAAAUCCUGUAAUCCUGGACGGACCACCGGUGGCGAAAGCGCCUCAGGAAGACGGACCCGACAGUGAGGGACGAAAGCUUGGGUCUCGAACCGGAUUAGAAACCCGGGUAGUCC
rnacentral:rRNA from 1 species